GUACACACCCGCCCGUCGCUCCUACCGAUUGAAUGAUCCGGUGAAAUGUUCGGAUCGCGGCGACGUGGGCGGUUCGCUGCCCGCGACGUCGCGAGAAGUCCAUUGAACCUUAUCAUUUAGAGGAAGGAGAAGUCGUAACAAGGUUUCCGUAGGUGAACCUGCGGAAGGAUCAUUG
rnacentral:ncRNA from 1 species